GAUGAACGCUAGCUACAGGCUUAACACAUGCAAGUCGAGGGGCAGCGGUAUCCAAAGCUUGCUUUCGGUAGCCGGCGACCGGCGCACGGGUGGGUAACGCGUAUCGCACCUGCCUCAUACUCGGGAAUAGCCUUGCGCAAGUAAGAUUAAUGCCCGGUGUUUUCCGCGUCCCGCAUGAGGCUUUGUCCAAAGAUUUAUCGGUAUGAGCUGCCGAUGCGUCCCAUUAGCUUGUUGGCGAGGUAACGGCCCCCCACGGCGUCGAUGAGUAGGGGUUCGGAGAGGAGGAUGCCCCACAGGGGAACUGGGACCCGGGCCAAUGUGCUACGGGAGAGAGCAGUGAGGAAGACUGGACAAGGGGCGAAAGCCUGAUCCAGCCAAGUAGCGUGCAGGAAGACGGCCCUCGGGGUUGUGAACUGCUGUUAGUAGGGAAUAAAAGGGGGCGAGGGAGCCCCCGUGCAGGUACCAGCAGAAAAAGGACCGGCUAAUUACGUG
rnacentral:rRNA from 1 species